GUCCCUAUCGAUUAGUGGUUAAAUCAUCACGUUGUGGCGUCGCCAAUCCGUGAAGCCGCCGGCUCGACUCCGGCUAGGGACA